UGGCUGACAACAAUAAAACAGUCAGGAGAGCAGUGCCACCAGAAUCAUCGCCACUGCUCUCCUGGCUGUUUCAUUGUUGUCAGCCA
rnacentral:pre_miRNA from 1 species